UUGGAGAAGGAACGAGAGAAGGAGAUCAGU
rnacentral:piRNA from 1 species